UACGGAGGGGGCUAGCGUUGUUCGGAAUCACUGGGCGUAAAGGGCGCGUAGGCGGCCGAUCAAGUCGGGGGUGAAAGCCUGUGGCUCAACCACAGAAUUGCCUUCGAUACUGUUUGGCUUGAGACCGGAAGAGGUAAGUGGAACUGCGAGUGUAGAGGUGAAAUUCGUAGAUAUUCGCAAGAACACCAGUGGCGAAGGCGGCUUACUGGUCCGGUUCUGACGCUGAGGCGCGAAAGCGUGGGGGAGCAAACAGG
rnacentral:rRNA from 1 species